UUAAAGAAGACCCAUGACUGUUUUGGACAACUAGAUGGAUGGUUGUUUAUUUACUAAAUUGGACUAACAGAAGAGCAGGUCUGGGGGUAGGGGAUGAAGGUAGUUUGAGAUCACUAUAAUACAUCCAUGAUGCUGCUCUGUUGCUUGUUGAAUGUAUGACUCUGAAGCCCCAAAAUGAGAUCUACCUUGGAGAUGGUAAUGAAGAUUUGGGGAUCACCAGCCUGAGGUCCUAUAAGUGAAUGAAACUUCCCAGGAAGUCGUGACCUAGACAGACAGGAAGAUUAACAUUUAUGGAGUAAAGGAAAAAAAAAAAAAACUUAACAAGGACUGAGAAAGAGAUGUCAUUGGAAAAAAAGACAAAGCCAGGAGAGAUAAAUGAUGUGGAAGCUAAGAAAAGAGAACGCAUUAAGGAGUGGUGGUCUACAGAGUCACAUUACUGAGAAGCAAAGCAAGUUGGGGACUGAGAAAUAUCCAUUGAUUUGGCUACAAGGAAGGUGUUGGUGACCCUGACAACAGUAUUUUUGUGGAGUGGUGGGAGCAGAAACCAUGCUCGGGAAGUUUGAGAAGAUCCUAGAAAAGUCAAGUAGUUUGACUGUGGAGAGGAGGAGAUGGGGAGGGUGUUAGAAAGGGAAGAGGGAGGAGAGGGAAGCAGGGAAGAAGAGAAAACUGGACAGGAAUGCAAGGCUGAAGGAAGGUUUUUAUGUGUUUGUUUUGCAUAUGAGAACUACUUGAGGAUGGUUGAAACUGAAAAGGAGCCAGUGGAAUAAAGGAGGAAGAUAAUAGACAGUAGUAGGGUAGUCUCUUUGUGGGAUGGAAGAGACUGGGUCCUUAGCAAGGGAAAGAAUUAGUCUUCAGAAGCUAAUCUCACUGUAACUGGAGGAAAGGAAAAAAAAAAAUGGGUGUGGAUAUGGAUAAUCUAGGAAGUGGGUCAUGAGGGAGUAGUCUCUAUUUAAUGGGUUUUUGUAUUUUCCUUCUGAAAUAAGGAGAGACCAACUGCUGAGAGGGAAACGGGAGAAGGAAGAGAGAAAAGUUUGAAGAGAACAAAUGAGAUCUGAAGUGGUUACUGGAGAAAACUGGACACACUGCUAAGCAGCACAGGAGAAGGUUCAGGAAACUGAGUAGUUCUGUCGAGCACAGAAUUUUGUCAGAGCAUCAACAGAGCCUAUGAAUAGCCCGUUCUCAGAAGUGGAAAGCUGACCUGGAAGAAUUGAAGAGAAGUUCGAUAUUACAGGUAAUCCAUGUAAACGGCUGAGUGAGUAGCCCAUCCAUCUACCCAGGCUUUCCAGGUCUCAGGGCACAUUUGAGUGAAGCAGACAUCCACGAAAAGCCAGUGGGUGAGAACAGUGUGGAGGGUACACCUGUAAACUGAAUUCUAGAAACCAAAGCCUAAUAGCAGCCUUAUUUAUGAAACUAGAUAUGCAGUGCAAAACCCAUAAUGAACUUAUUGUAGUGGCAGAUCUGUGACCUGACUUGGUUAUUUCCAACCAGCGAAAAGAAAAUUUGAGAUAUUAUUUAACUAUGACAUUUCCCAGACAUCUGCAAAGACAUUUCAGUUGGCAAAGGGGGAUUAUGUGGCAUCAGCAGAACUAUAAAAAUGCAUAUACACAUCGGGGUGUCUG